UUUAACUAUAGUAAAUUUAAAAAUUGUAGAUGAUUUACUUCCAAAAGAAGAACUAAAAAAUGAAUUUAAAUAUGAUUCUGAAUCUGCCAAAGAAGAAUCUGUAGAUGAUGAUGAACAUAAACUUGUAAUAAAAGAAGAAGCUGAUGAUUUUAACAAUGAUUCAACAGCAAGCAGUUGUGACUAUAGUUUGUCACAAUUUAAAGAUGAACCUCAAUUUACUGAUGCAGAAGAAGAAGCUGAUGAUCCACAAAGGGGAGUUAAAAAAGAACAAUAUGAUGACGAUGAUGAUCUGCCACUGGCAAAUUGUUCAAAAAAUUCUAUGAAACGGAAAAUUGAGUCAGAAGAUGAUGACGACGAUGUACCUUUGGCCAAAAGAACAAAAAUUAAAAAGGAAAAGGAUAAGGAGAAAAAAAGAAAAAGGACAGAGGAUGAUGAAACUGAAUAUAAACCAAUAAAAAAGGAGAAAAAAGAUAAAAAAGUAAAGAAGGAGACUCUUGACAUAUCUCCAAAUUUAAAGAAAGGAAGUAAAAAAAAGAAAGAAGAAGAGACUCAGGAAGUUU